rnacentral:misc_RNA from 2 species
UCCAUUGAUGCAGAUCAGUUAUUUCCCCUCCUUUGCGCCCCGUCGUGGGCGUUAUUGACCCCGGUCAAUUUUCAUCCAGGCCUGAUUGGUUACCUUGAACCCAUCGCAACAGGGGCAAGACCAGGAGGUCAGUCAUGUUUUUCGAUAAUGUGGUGUUUGCCGGGGUGUUGACGGUCGGCCUCAUGUUCGUGUUUUUCGCAGGUUUCGGAUUAUUCAUCUGGAAAGACGCACACAAGCGGAAAAAACCGUAGGUCUUUCCGGCUACAACGAGCACGCAAGGCAUUUUGGGCGACUUCGGUCGCCCUUU